UUUAACCAGAUUUCUGGAAUUUUGAAUAAUCCAAUUUGUAGAUAACUAAAGUAGAACAAAUACAUUUAACAAAUGUGAGUUAUUUUGUCAAAACAGUUUAACAAGACAAAUAAAUAUAUAUGUGAAAUUUAAUUAUAAAUCAAUAAUCUGAAGAAUGUCCGGGAAAAUUCUGUUUAGAUGAAGUAAAUGUCAAAUUUAUUGAGCAUUGACUGUGACAUUGAGCCUUGCAUUGUUAGAAAAAUUGUUUAAAUAUGGUUAAUAAUAUUUUGGUCUGAUUAGUUUACAGCAUAUUUUUAUCUGUACUUUCCAAAUAUAUUUUAUACAACAAAAUACUCAUGUGUUGAUUUGGGUUUUUAUCUGGGAGUGUUUUUAGAGCAGGAACAGGUUAAUGUAAAUUAACAGAGCAAUGGAUCGGAGUUCACAUUAUGAUGGGCUGGAAAGCAAAUCUCAUUGGAUUGCUGGUGAUAUAACUCGAAAUGUAUUAGAAAUGAAUAAUGAAAACUUGGUUUUCCAACAAAAUGAUCUCUUUCCAUCAGCUUUUCCUAUUAUGGCUGAUAUAAGAAGGCAAGGAAAACUAUGUGAUGUUGUAUUGAAGGUGGAAGGACAGUUUUUCAGUGCUCAUAAGAUAGUAUUGGCAUCAACCAUUCCAUAUUUUCAAGCAAUGUUUAUGAAUGAUAUGAUUGAAUCUCGUAAUAAAGAAAUUGAAAUUAAAUGCAUUGAUGCUUUGGCCCUUGAAGCAUUGGUUAAUUUUGCCUACACAGGAAAAGUGACUCUAGAUAAAAAUAAUGUACAGAGUGUUAUGAUAGGAGCAUCUUAUUUACAAUUAAAUAAAGUCAGAGAUGCCUGUGCCAACUACUUAUUGCAAAGAAUUCACCCACAGAACGCAUUAGGAUUUAGACAUUUUGCAGAUUCAUUAGGCUGUUCCACACUGGCAGAUUCUGCAGAAAAAUAUAUCGAAUCAUAUUUCCAUGAAGUUUCCCAACAUGAGGAGUAUUUAAAUCUUUCUGUGACAGAAAUAAAAGAUAUGUUAACUAAAAAUGAUCUCAGAGUUGAAAGCGAAGAACAAGUUUUCGAAGCUUGUAUGAGAUGGGUGAAACAUGAUGUGGAAAUAAGAAAAGAUUUCUUGCCAGAAUUAUUGUCAUUAGUUAGAUUGCCAUUAUUAUCACCUCUGUACAUUACCGAUAGAGUUAGAAAUGAAGAACAAAUAAGGUAUUCCAUACAAUGCCGGGAUCUCGUAGAUGAAGCUUUAACAUUUCACUUAAUACCAGAACGACGAGCGCUGAUCCAGAGUUUUCGAACGGAACCAAGAGUGUGUGACAUUAAAGGUCACAUAUAUGUUGUCGGAGGCUUAAACAAACACGGGGACUCAUUAUCGACAGUCGAAUAUUAUGAUCCGAAGAAGGACAAAUGGAAUAUGGCACCUCCUAUGUCGAUGAUGAGGUCCAGAUUAGGAGUGGCUGUGAUAAAAAGUAAAUUGUUCGCUUUCGGAGGUUACAAUGGAAAGGACCGAUUAGCAAGUGUUGAAGUUUAUGAUGCGAUUAGGAAAGAAUGGGCGACUGUGGCGUCGAUGAUCUGUAAAAGAAGCGCCCUAGGAGCAACCGCAUUAGGUGACAUCAUAUAUGUAUGUGGCGGAUAUGAUGGUGUGACUUCGUUGAAUUCAGUGGAGAGAUACCAUCCAAGUACCAAUUCUUGGUGUUCUUUGGCACCAAUGAAUAAGUCGAGAAGUGCAGGUGCAGUCAUUGCUUGUCAAGGUUACAUAUACGCUUUAGGUGGCCACGAUGGCUUGUCAAUAUUUGAUUCAGUAGAGAGGUAUAACCCAGCAACUAAUACUUGGACGGAGGCUCCACCAAUGCUCACUAAAAGGUGUAGAUUGGGUGUGGCAAUGUUAGGUGGAAAAUUAUUCGCUUGUGGUGGAUACGAUGGAAGUUCAUUUCUUCAAACUGUGGAAAUGUUUGAUCCAGCCACUAAUAAGUGGGUAUACGUAGCGCCGAUGAACGCCCAAAGGAGUCGAGUAGCUCUAACAGCCAACAUGGGGAAACUAUGGGCAGUAGGUGGAUAUGAUGGUAUAUCUAAUCUUGUAACGGUAGAAGUAUAUGAUCCAAAGAGUGAUAAAUGGAUCUACGCAGCUGACAUGAUAGCACAUGAAGGUGGAGUCGGCUUAGGAGUGAUUUCCAUACCGUGAAAUAUAUAAUUUAAUGAAGCCAUAUUUUUACUAUCAUUAUUCAAAACGUAUUUUUUAAAUUUUUUUGUUUUACCGAUCUGUGAAUUAACAAAAUUUUAAAUUUUUAGUUACACUUUCAAAAGAUCUGCAAGAAUGUGUGUAAUAUUAAAUACCAUUUCUGCUCGUGACUAUUUUUGAAGUGUUGUUAAAGGGUCCCCUGAUAAAGGUUUUAUAUAGUUAUAACAAAAUACCUAACACAAUACUAGUUUCCGAUGUUUUGGAAACUUCUUCUUAAACAUGAUUUUAACUUUAACUUUUUUAAUUAAAAAUAAUCUAUUAAUACCUGAAAAUAACCUGGAAACAAAUCAAUGAGAUAAUUAUUAGAGUACCUAUUACUUGGAAAGGGCAUGUCUUCGAGAUCAUUGGACUACAGGGUGUUAGUAAAUGAGUAUGAAAAACGUUAAAGGGUAAUUCUACAUGGAAAAAUAAUGACAGUUUGCUCUAUAAACGUAUGUCUGCAAAUGCUUCAUUUCCAAGAUACGGGGCGUUGAAUUUUUGUUUUCAAACUGCGAAUUUUUUUAUUGCUGUAAGACCUUUUAAGGGCACCCGAAGUCCCAUUUAACGACAAUGUUAACAUUAUGUAACAUAGCUCUGUAACCAAAGCACUUAGAGAGCAAAUUUUUGAUUUAUUUUGAAGCUAGAUGUAUUGUUUAGUCCCGCGUAGAUUUCUGUAAAGUUAGAGUGAAAGAAACGUAUAUUUUAAAUUUUUUUAAAAUACUCUUACAAAAAAACCCAAAAAAGUUUAGAUUUUAUUUUUUAUUUGACUUAUUUUUGCACAUUUUUCAAUAAAACUUUAAGCGGGACUGAUAUUAUCUAUCUACAACUACUGUAAAAAUUUGGACCUUCUAUCAUCUAACGAUCCAGAGAUAUUUGACAUCAAAAUUUAAAAACCUAGUAUUCGGGAAAUCGCAAAAACAUAAAACCCUCUAAUAGACUAUAAAGCUACCGGUACACGGUAAGUUGAGUGCAGACGUUCAAAAAACAAAUAAUUUUGUAACCAUGGAUAUUUUCUACUAUAAUGUGUUAUAUAUCGUUGAAAAGAGAAGAUUUCAGAGAAUAAUUUUUUCAUAAUAGGUUCUUUUUCAUAAAUUAAACGUGGAAUACAAAAAUAAUUUUUAAUUUGAAAUAUCUCAGUGGCGUACCAUUUUUUUUCUUUAAAAAAGUUCAGACCAUUACCCGUAGGCGCGCCAAUGAUGAUAAUAAAAUUGUUAUUUGUUGGCCAACAAAUGCGCAAUAACUACCUCUUGAAACUCACAAAAUGUAAUUUUCAUAUCUCAACCGGUCUUAGAACAAUAAAACAAUUGGCAGUUUGAAAUAAAAAUUUCAACACCCUGUAUCUCGGAAACAAAGCAUUUGCGGACAUACGUUUAUAGAGCAAACUGCCAUUAUUUUUUUUAUGUAGAAUUAUCCCUUAAAGUUUUUCAUACUUAUUUACUAACACCCUGUAUAUGCGCUAUGAGAAAGUGCAUCAAAAACAGAAAAUAUUCUAUGAAACCCUAUCUGAAACUAUAAAUAGCCGCAAAGAAAUUGUGGUGUUGGGAGAUUUUAAUGCUUGGACAGGGAAAAAAAUAAGUGACAAAAUCGUAGGAAAAUACGGGGACGAUAUAACAAAUAAAAAUUGAUAACACUCUAAUAACAUAAAAACGUACAUAAAUAAACCCGGGUCCAACCAACGAGAAACAUUACGGGGAACGCAGCAAAAUGCAAAAUUUUGACGCAUGUCAAAAUUUUCAAUGUGUUUUAAAUGUAAUCAUUUUUUUUUUCGAAUCCUGAGAAAACUAAUAAGUAUUUUUGAAAAAUUUAAACGCAUAGUGAAAGACUGCUUUAUUACCGAGGGCCGAAAGUCCCUUAGAAUAAAUAAAAAAUUCUUUUGAAUGAAAUAUUUGUAAUUAAAAAUCACACUAAAUUUUCUCUUUUAUUUUCAUCCCUGUAACGUAUUCAAAUAAACAUUAUACAAGUUUUCAGGGACUUUAAGCCCUCGGUAAUAAUGUAAUCUUUCAUUCUGCGUUUAAAUUCUUCAAAAAUAAAUAGUUUUUUCAGAAUUCGAAAAAAUGAUUACAUUUAAAACACAUUGAAAAUUUUGACAUGCGUCAAAAUUUUGCAUUUUGUUCCGUUCCCCUUAAGUCAAUUAUAGAUUAUGUUAUAAUAAAAUGAGAAAAACCAGAAAGCCAACAAAUUCAAAUGUGAACUUACAAUCAACUGAAACUUUCAAAUACUUGUGCGUCCAAGUAACAUAAAAAAACAGGGAGUAAUGAAGAAUAUAUUGCAGGAUUAGCCAAGCAAGAUCAGCCAUUAGGCAUUUGCAUCAUGGAGUAAUAAAAUAACAAAAGAAAAGAAAAAAGUAUAAAACAAUAAUAGAAAGGAUUGUACAGCGACUAAUUCUCGAAAAUAAUUAGAAGAAACAAAUCAAAAAUUGAGGCUCGAAGAACGAAAAUAUUCGGGGAUAAAUGGCAAUUAGUCUAGACAUAAUAGACACAAUUGAAGUCAAAAUACUAAACUGGUAUGGAUACCUGCAGAGAAUGACUGAAAAUAGAUGACCAAAAAGGAAGACCAAGACGGUCCUGGAGAAAAGAUGUCGGAGGACGUCCUCGCAUCUGGACGGCGCAGUUGUAGAACACUGUUUUUUAAUUUCCACAGAAUAUCGCCCACUUAACAUGCUCACUGAAAGAUCAGCUUGCUAAGAACAGUUUUAAACCAUUCUAUUGUGUAAACAGUUUGUACGUAUAUAUAGAUUGUUGUGUUAUUAUGUUUUGUUUAACAGAAACAUGCAUUCCUAUCAAAUAAUUGCCAAUAUUUUUUAUUAAUUGUGCCUUACCCUCAAAGAGUCGUUGGCAUAGUAGUCUGGGCAUAUUAUCGGAAAAGAGGCCAUUUUUGGGAAAAGUUAUUUACCAGCAAUUUUAUUGCUGGAAUCGAAUCUUAUAAUUCUAUAUAUUAAUAAUAUAUCUAUGCAAAGUCCGCAGGUAGUGUGCUACUUUUUUUUAUAAACAAAAAGGCGCCCCCAAAUCGGGUUUUGUUUUCAAUUAUUGCUCUAUAACUUCAUAGAUUUUAACUUUACACCAAAAACACCCAAAUAAAAAUUUACCAUAAUUAAAUUCUGCAUAGACAUGUUUUUCUCGAUUUACUUAGACGAAAAUUUUUUUCGAAAAAUCCGGUUUUCUCCAACAAAAUCUUUAAUUUUCAGCUAAAAUUUUAGGUAAGUAAGUAAUUAUUUAUCAAUAAUUAAAUAACUUGGUCUUAUAAAGCCCUUUUGGUAUAAACUAUUUAUAUCCAGAAGCCGAUGGAAAUUGAAUGAACAGUUUAGCAAAAAUGAAUUUGUUAAUUAUCAAUUUACGGUCGCUAUAAUAACCAUAAUAAUUAUGAUAUAUAAGAAUAACUAUGAUUUUUGUAUAAAAAGGCACUAUACCUAUCUAAUAUACUUUACAGAAUUGAAAUUGGACUAUUUAAGCGCCCUCAGGAAUAUUUUAAAAUUAUAAAAAAUUGUUUUGCUUAUAAACAAAUAGAAUAUUUUGGCAACUGUUAAAUUAAAUUAUGAAAACGAUAUUGAAAAGAACGUGGCAUGACGCUUCUUUUAAAAGAAAAAACGUUUAAUUGCGAUGAGUGGUUCCUGAGAUACAACCCGUCAAAGUUCACCGGCAUGUACGGCGAUGAUAUAAACAAUAGGAUGAUAAGUUUCGAACCAUCGCUUUUUUAUUUCGGUCCUCUUUCUCCACACAAAUUUUCAUAUCUUUAAAAGAAACAUAACAUAUAAUAUAAUAAUAAAAACUAUCCAUAUUACGAGUAAAAAAUACCAAAAUUCCAAUCAAAAAUUAGGUUGGAGAAAAUGGAAUCUCAAAGUUCAAAAUCAAUAUACGUUAAAAAAAAUGCAUUUUCUCAGCUUCCCAUGGAGCAAUUUUCUUAAUUUUUUUUGGUUCCCAAGUAACAUGAGUCGAGACAUCUAGCUAACGCAUUAUUAGUCAAAGUUGCUUUUGUUUUGUUAUAAUAAAUUUAUUUAUUUAUAAGAACAUAAAACUACAUAUUUUUCCAGUUAUAGACUUUUUUUAUAUAAAUUUACCAUAAGUUUACCUUUUAACGUUUGAAAUACAAAUAUUCUCAUUUAAAAGCUGUAUAAUUAUUUAAACAAUCUUGUUUUAAAUAAAUUAAAAGUUGUGUUAUAAUAAAUAAUUUAUUUAUUAUAACAAGACAAAAGCAACUUUGACAUUUAGUAAUGUGUUAGUUAGGUGGCUCUACCCGAGUUACUUGGGAACAAAAAAAAAUGAAGAAAAUUGCUCAAUGGGAAGCUGAGAAAAUGCAUUUUUUUAACGUAUACUGAUUUUGAACUUUGUGAUUCCAUUUUCUCCAACCUGAUUUUUGAUUUAAAUUUUGGUAUUUUUCACUCGUACCGAUGGUCUUUAAUUUCUACCGAUGGGUUUUUAUUAAUAUAAUAUAUGUUAUGAGUCUUUUAAAGAUAUGAAAAUUUGUGUGGAGAAAGAGUACCGAAAUAAAAAGGUAAUAUUUCAAAAAUUGCCAUCCUAUUAUUUAUAUCUUCGCCGUACAUGCCGGUCAACUUUGACCGGUUGUAUGUCAGGAACCACUCAUCGCAAUUAAACGUUUUUUCUUUUAAAAGAAGCGUCCUGCCGCGUUCUCUCCAAUACCGUUUUUAUAAUUUAAUUUAAUAGUUGGCGAGAUAUUCUAUUUGUUUAUAAGCCAAAAAAUUGAUUAUAAUUUUAAAAUAGUCCUGAGGCCGCUUAUAUAGUCCAAUUUCAAUUCCGUAAAGUACAUUAGAUAGAGUGCCUUUUUAUACAAGAAUCAUAGUUAAUCUUAUGUAUCAUAAUUAUUAUGGUUAUUAUAGCGACCGUAAAUUUUUAAUUAAUAAUAUAAUUGUUGCUAAAGUGUUCAUUCAAUUUCCAUCGACUUACCAUCGACAAUAUAAUCUAUACCAAAAGGGAUUUUAUGUCACCAAGUUAUUUAAUCAUUGAUAAAUAAUUACUUACCUAAAAUUUUAGUUGAAAAUUAAAGAUUUUGUUGGAAAAUUUUCUUCGAAGUAAAUCGGGAAAACCUGUCUCUAUGCAGAAUUUAAUUACAGUGAAAUUUUAUUUGGGCGUUUUUGGUGUAAAGUUAAAAUUUUUGAAGUUAUAGAGCAAUAAUUAAAAAAAAACACAAUUUGGGGGCGCCAUUAAUAUAUAUAUAUAUAUAUAUAUAUAUAUAUAUAUAUAUAUAUAUAUAUAUAUAUAUAUAUAUAUAUAUAUAGUAAAUUUAAAAUCAAGAUGCAGAAGAAAUAAACAAACCAAGACACGGUAAAUGCUACUAGGAGCACUCCCGAAUCAUAAUUUACAAUGUAUAAACUUUGGAAAUCAUGAUUUGGGAUUUCCAAAGUUUAUACAUUGUAAAUUAUGAUUUGGGAGUGCUCCUAGUAGCAUUUAACGUGUCUUGGGUUUGUUUAUCACUAGUGCAUCUUGAUUGUAAAUUUAGUAUAGAAUCAUAAGAUUCGAUUCAAGCAAUAAAAUUGCUGGUAAAUAACUUUUCUUUGUAUUUUGCUAUUUAGCCCAGAGUAUAGUAGAAUUUUAGGGUUAUACCAUUUAUUUAGUACAUUUAUGCAGUAUACGUAUGAUCAUUUUUUAUAUUAUAUAUUAUUUAUCACCGUGCCUUUAAAGUAUUUUGCAAUUAUUUAUAUUGAAGUCAACUUCAUCUAGUUCUCCACGCCUAUAUCUUUCAGGUCUCCUGCUAUAUUAUCUCGCCACCGGAGUCCGCGUGGUCUUCUUCCAGUUGGGACUUCCUCCCAUACUAGCCUUACUGUUCUUUGGUCAGAAUAUCUUCUGAGGUGUCCUGCCUAUCAGAGUCUUCUGGACUUUAUUUCUUUUAUUAUGUUGGCGUCUGGGUAUAGUUCUUAGAGCUCUUUGACCAGCUGCUUCAAGCACAGGCCCAAAGAUUUCUUCCUUAUGAUUUUUCUUUCCAAACGUAGUUUCUUUUCGUUUGUUUUUGUUAUCGUCCACGUUUCGCUGUCAUGCAUCAUUACGGGUCGUAUGAUUGUUUCAUAUAGUUGUAUCGUUUUUUUCUUUGUUUCGAUUUUAUAAGGUUUUGAAGGACCUUGUCUUCAGUUAUUGUUGUUCCAAGAUACUUAAAUUUUCUAACGCGCUCAUCGAUGGUGAAGUUCUGACCGAUCCUGCCUCUGAUUUGGUUAUUGCGGCUCAUAUACAUAUAUUUCGCUUUACUUUCAUUGAUUAGGAGCUCCAUCUUCUCUGCUUCCCUCUGGAAUCUGACGAAAGACUCCAUCAUUAAUCUGGUAUUUCCUAUUAGAACGAUAUCGUCUGCAAAUGCAGAACAAACAGUAAGUUUGGUCCUUCUCGAUGAAAUACUGUAGUCGGUUUUUCGAUUCUUGCACUUAUGAUGUGUUCCAGAGCUAAGUUGAAGAGUUCAUGCGAGGAUACUCCAGUAAAAUGUAUAAUCACACAAAAUAAAUGAAGUCUAUGGUUUUCCAUGGAAAAUAUGGUUUUCCAAUAAAAUUAAGAUGUCGACCAUAGCUAUGAUAGAGGAGAUAUGGAAUCUGUUUAGCAAAGAUGAUUAUAAAGACGUUUUAAAAAAAUUACCUCUUAUUUAUGAGCUACGUUAUGUUAUAAUAUUUUAUUUAUUUCCUAUUAUACUCAUUUCUUAUUUGGAAUAAAGUAAUUUUUUACCGUUCAAACUUCUUCAUAAUAUAAGCUUUAAGUCAUUACUAUAAUAGUUUUUUUUUUAAUUUUUUGGAUAUGUAGAAAGUGCAGUUCCAAAUCAAUUUAAAGACUACGUUUUACAGAAUUGACAGUAUUGUGAUUAUAUAAUAUAAAUUUAUAUUGUAAGUUAUAUUAAAAUAUAUAAUUUAUAAACUUUUUUUAAAUUACAAUAAAUUCAAAUUUCAACCUC
rnacentral:misc_RNA from 1 species